rnacentral:lncRNA from 1 species
AGCGUCCUACCACCGAAACCAGAGAUAACGGUACCCUGAGUCGGCUACUUAGGGAUGUAAGAAAAUGAAAGGAAUAAGAUUGUAAUAAUUUGUAAUAAGUAUGAUUGUAUUUUGAAGUUAAAUGUAAUAUGUAAUUAUAAUGUAAAAUGUUUCUAGUGAAUGUGAAUACUUGUAAUAACAAGUAGAUUAUGUUUUUGAUACUUCCUUAUGCAAUCUUUGAUUGAAAUGUGUUCCUGGUUGGAACUUCGUACAUU